ACAGAAAAUCAAAAAAAAAAGAAAAAAAACAUCUCGGCAUUGGAGGACAAAGGCAUGCUCCGGCCAUACAUCUGGAAACACUCUAAACCAACAUCCUGGUAUAAAUUUGCAAAACGCAAUACAGGCCGGAUUGUGCGGGGGACGGACACGGGGCGCAUACAAAUGGCCCCCCGUCUAAAGUACCCCCUGUUUCUCUUCAGCCUCAGAAGGAGAGCCUGCGUUUUUUUACCGAAGGGAGAAUAAAGUUUCAAGUGCAUGGCAUUUGAAGGUAAGGGAGUGAAAUCGGAGGCUGGUCGUUGGGGAUAAGGCAAGGCUGGGAAAGAGGGAAGUUGGCAGUAGUGCCCAGCCAGACUCGGUGCCUUGAGCUCCCCCCUCCCUGCACCAGGUGUCUGCUACAUUUAAAUGAUACUAUUAUUCAUAGACAAGAGAGCAGGGUAUUAAAAGUCCCCCCAAAAAAUCAUUUGCAAUUGAAUACAGAUAUAAUCCUGGAAAUAUAAGUCUCCAUUUAGGCCUUGCCAUUAAGCUAACAAGGAGCUCUUUGUACAACAUGUGUGUAUUAAUCACGGUCAGGGGAAAGGGGCAGGAAGAGAGAGAGUGGGAGAGAAAAUAGAAAGCGAGUGAGCGAGGGAGGGAAAAACAGGGAGAGAGAGAACACCAUUCGUGUGUGUUCACAUGCAAAUUGAAAUGUUGCUCAUCAAAAACGAGCUUAUCACUUUCCUUCUUGUUCUCGGCAGACUUGGCGGGCUAGCGCGAACCCGAAGCGCUUCUAAUGGGGAUGAACUGAAAAUGUAUUUGCAUUUGUGAAAUUUCAACACACACUUGAUUUCUUUCAGCUGCGCAAUCUGAAGGGCGCAAGACGUAAAGGAAGCACAUACUGCGUGCAGAUGUCACAACGACACGCAGGAAUUCGUGCAAUGAAGCCCAGGUUUCUCAAACCUACUGUGUGGGUUUCAUUUUCCCGCAGAUCGCUUUUAUUUGUGCACUUUUUCACUGUGGCAAAUAGAGAUUUUGAAGGGCCCUCGAGGCAGCCCCCCAAUGCCCUUUACAAAACUCCUCUCAAGCAAUCAUUACAUCACCAUUUCUCUAAGCCGAUUUUCAGCAAGUCUGGCUCUGUUAUUAAAAUAGUAAUUAAUUUUUGUCUGAGGUUACAAAAGCAAGUUUUUUUGUCCCCCACCAAGUAUCCCUGAAGAGACCAGGGGUGUCGGUGAGGUCCUUUCUAUCUAGUCUACGGUCUCUAGAUGUAACCCCCUCUAGUCUGGUACAGUAAGAGCACUUUGAUAAUGGGACAGAAGCAGACACCCGCACCGGAUCGAUCUGGAUCUUGGAAUGAGUUUGAUAGACUGGUGUCACAAACAAGUGAGGCUCAACAAUAGCAUCACAAUAGAUACUUCAUAAAACAGAGAUACACACUCCACGAAUGCUUUUGCAGUAAAGACUUUGAAAAAACUCCCCCUCAAGUCGUUCUAAACCUGUAUGAGUUUCUUUUGAAGAUAAACAAAAGAAGAUAUUUUGAAAAAUGUUGACAGUAGCCAUUGACUUGAUAUUGACUAUUUUUUUUCCAUACUGUGGAAGUCAAUGGCUACCAUCAAUUGUUUGGUUAUCAAAUUUCUUAAAAAAAAAAACUUGCUUUAUGUUCAUCAGAAGAAAGGUUUGGAACAAGUGGAGGACAAGUAAAUGAUGACAAAAUUAUCCCUUUAACUUUCGCCAUAUGGUACAUGGGAAAGUAUUGUGCGAACUAUAUGGACAAUAUGGACACGGUUUAGUAUGUUUAAUAUGACUAGUGUCCUGAAACAACUCUGCUGGAUGUUUCCAUAGAAGAUUAAGUGUUCAUAGAGAGGAGGUGCGAGGGCUUAUGGGUAAAAAUCACUUGCAAGUGAGGCUUCAAGAUAGAAUUUUCCUUGGAAACACCAAUCAUGUUUGAAAUCCAUGUCAGAGAAGAUUGGUGGGGGGGGGGGGGGGGGGGGGUGUUGAAACCCCUAAGGAAUAAAAGUUGACUUUGAGAGCCUUUGAGUUUCCCGGACAGCCCAUCUGCCAUAAAACACUAUUGUAAAGCUGGACGCAGGUCCCCGAGAUUGAUGACUCCAAGUCUUUCAAAAAGCUGUUUGUAUAAGUGGAGUUAUGCUAAAAAUGCAGCAGUGAUAAUAUGGUGGCCGUUCAUCUGAAACAGAGCAUUACUGCAAUGAUAAACAUUGUGUUUGACUUCAUGGAUUUAGUCAGCUGGUGUGCUUGAAAGACAGAGGGAAAAAAGUGGGUGGAAAAACAUUUGCCUUUCUCCAAAAUUAAGUCGUUAUUUCAGACAGCCAUAAAUGCGUGUCCUGAGUUACUCUGGCAGUCUCGGCUUCCCGUCAGAUCACAAUGGAGAUGUCAGGAGAUCAUCUCUGAACACAAGCAUAUCCGCCCCUUUCUCACCAGAACACAUCAGAACAUUUACAUCUUUCCAUAUGAACUGUGUAGUAAUGUCAUGAGAACCAAUGUUUGUUUGUUUCUUAAGCAAACACCCUCAUUAAGAACUAAUAUUGUUAGAUUUAUUGUAUUAUAAAACUUUAAACCUUUAUCUCACCUGUAAAGAAGCAACAGGUCAUAAAACUCGUUGUUUUUACAUGAUCUCUGUCUGCCCCAUGAAAAUGACUUAGAUUUUUCCCCCUACGUUUUGGACAGCUGGGGCAGGGGGAGCUUUUCAGGAUUUCACUGCAUCUCGGUGUGUCCAAGCAAUAAGUGUGGGGCCAGUGCAGUAGUCACUGCAGGAUUUAAAAAGACUUCCUCAUGCAGAAAUAUUUAAUCUCCUUUCAGAAAAUAAAAGAGGGAGAGGGGAAAGAAAACCCACCAUGAGAUUUUCUGUUCUUUAUUACUCGUGCAGUAUCAAAGAGUUGUACAUCAUAGUCGCUGCUCGUAUUGAAUGAAAUUUC